rnacentral:lncRNA from 1 species
AACCUUCUAAUAUUCUUGACUUACCCACUACCUAACAUAUCCACUAUUAUUUAUUCCAAAUUACAUGAAAAAUAUCAUAUCCAACAUCCUAUAUUUUCAUCCCCAAAACUGGACCAAAAAGGAGUCUCAAGGAAAUUAUAACUCCAAUGACCCUUGUAAUUUUCUACCCCAAAAUGAAAAAGGAAGAAAAACAGAACAUUUACUC